rnacentral:lncRNA from 1 species
CUUUGGCAUAUAAUUCAUGUCUGAUAUCAGAGUAAAAACAACAAUUAAAAAGAAAGUGUUUUUCAUCUUCAAUUUGGCAACUAUCACAAAAAAAUACAUAAACGGUCUUGUAGAGGUUCUGGUGGUCUAGCAUAUCGACCUGUUUCAACUUUAAGUUGUAACGAACCAGCUCUGAAUAGUGACAAAAUACGUCGGUGGCAUCUAUUAUUAAGGGGGUUCGCGGGUCUAAAUCAUUUAUAUAGGAUUUCUCUAAAUUUUUCUAUAAAUGAACUUUAUCUUAUAGUUAAUAGAAAAAUAAAAUAAAAAAGUGGGGUCACCGUUCAUUUGCGCUCACAAUCUGCCUUCGAAAGAAGCAUACAUUUUUGUAAAGGUUUUUUUUUCUGUUGAAGUAAGAGGAGAAAUAAAGGUAAUAUCGAAAAAAAAG